UGAGGAAUAUUGGUCAAUGGGCGCAAGCCUGAACCAGCCAUCCCGCGUGAAGGAAGAAGGCGCUAUGCGUUGUAAACUUCUUUUCCAGGGGGAGAAUUUUUCCGUCGUGACGGGAAUUGACGGUACUCUGGGAAUAAGCAUCGGCUAACUCCGUGCCAGCAGCCGCGGUAAUACGGAGGAUGCGAGCGUUAUCCGGAUUUAUUGGGUUUAAAGGGUGCGUAGGCGGAUAGAUAAGUCAGUGGUGAAAUUCUGCAGCUGAACUGUAGAAUUGCAGUUUAGAGUGUAAGUCUUGAGUAUGAUUAAAGCAGGCGGAAUGUGUAAUGUAGCGGUGAAAUGUUUAGAUAUUACACAAAACACCGAUUGCGAAGGCAGCUUGCUGGGCCAUUACUGACGCUGAUGCACGA
rnacentral:rRNA from 1 species